rfam:Triticum aestivum genome assembly, contig: Triticum_aestivum_CS42_TGACv1_scaffold_542881_6DS
AUACCUUUCUCGGCCUUUUGGCUAAGAUCAAGUGUAGUAUCUGUUCUUAUCAGUUUAAUAUCUGAUAUGUGGGUCAUGUGCUCACAACGAUAUUAAAUUUAUUUUUUAUGGGAGAGGGUCCACCACAGUGGCUUGCCAUUGGGGCUCUCAGGUGUUGCCUGGGCGUUGCACUACAGCCCAGGCAGGCGCACCCCAA